rnacentral:rRNA from 1 species
UACGGGGGGGGCAAGCGUUGUUCGGAAUUACUGGGCGUAAAGGGCUCGUAGGUGGCCAACUAAGUCAGACGUGAAAUCCCUCGGCUUAACCGGGGAACUGCAUCUGAUACUGGAUGGCUUGAGAUUGGGAGAGGGAUGCGGAAUUCCAGGUGUAGCGGUGAAAUGCGUAGAUAUCUGGAGGAACACCGGUGGCGAAGGCGGCAUCCUGGACCAAUAUUGACGCUGAGGAGCGAAAGCCAGGGUAGCCAAACGGGGAU